rnacentral:rRNA from 1 species
UACAGAGGAUGCAAGCGUUAUCCGGAAUGAUUGGGCGUAAAGCGUCUGUAGGUGGCUUUUUAAGUCCGCCGUCAAAUCCCAGGGCUCAACCCUGGGCCUGCAGUGGAUACGGGCAGACUAGAGGUAGGUAGGGGAGAAUGGAAUUCCCGGUGUAGCGGUGAAAUGCGCAGAUAUCGGGAGGAACACCGGUGGCGAAGGCGGUUCUCUGGGCCUUACCUGACACUGAGGAGCGAAAGCGUGGGGAGCGAACAGG